UGUUAACACUGAGGCGUGAUGACGAUGUCGUAAGACUACAAAGUGGCUGGUUCCAUGCUUCCAGGAAAAUCCUCGUAUCUAGUUAUGAAUGUGACCGUACCGCAAACCGACACAGGUAGGCAGGUAGAAGAUACUAAGGCGCUUGAGAGAACUCUGGUUAAGGAACUCGGCAAAAUAGCACCGUAACUUCGGGAGAAGGUGUGCCUGCAAGGUGUAGUAAUUUACUUAUGAAGCCUACGCAGGUUGCAGUGAAAUGGGGGGAGCGACUGUUUACUAAAAACAUAGGACUCUGCGAAGUCGAAAGACGAUGUAUAGGGUCUGACGCCUGCCCGGUGCCGGAAGGUUAAGGGGACAUGUCAGCGCAAGCGAAGCAUUGAACCGAAGCCCCGGUAAACGGCGGCCGUAACUAUAACGGUCCUAAGGUAGCGAAAUUCCUUGUCGGGUAAGUUCCGACCUGCACGAAUGGCGUAACGAUUUCCCCACUGUCUCAACCAGGGACUCAGCGAAACUGAAGCACCGGUGAAGAUGCCGGUUACCCGCAACUAGACAGAAAGACCCCGUGAACCUUUACUAUAGCUUGGCAUUGUUUUUUGAGGUAACAUGUGUAGGAUAGGUGGGAGACUUUGAAGUCGGUACGCUAGUAUCGAUGGAGUCAACCUUGAAAUACCACCCUUGUUAUCUUAGAAAUCUAACUGCGGUCCGUGAUCCGGAUCCAGGACAUUGUCUGGUGGGUAGUUUGACUGGGGCGGUCGCCUCCCAAAUUGUAACGGAGGCGCGCGAUGGUUCCCUCAGGCUGAUUGGAAACCAGCCGUAGAGUGUAAAGGCAUAAGGGAGCUUGACUGCGAGAGAGACAUCUCGAGCAGGUACGAAAGUAGGUCUUAGUGAUCCGGCGAUUCCGCAUGGAAGGGUCGUCGCUCAACGGAUAAAAGGUACUCCGGGGAUAACAGUCUUAUCUCCCCCAAGAGUCCAUAUCGACGGGGAGGUUUGGCACCUCGAUGUCGGCUCAUCACAUCCUGGGGCUGUAGCAGGUCCCAAGGGUUUGGCUGUUCGCCAAUUAAAGUGGUACGUGAGCUGGGUUUAAAACGUCGUGAGACAGUUUGGUCCUUAUCUGUUGCGGGCGCAGGAUAUUUGAGGAGAUCUUUCCCUAGUACGAGAGGACCGGGAUGGACGAACCUAUGGUGUACCAGUUGUUCCGCCAGGAGCAUCGCUGGGUAGCUAUGUUCGGCAGGGAUAACCGCUGAAAGCAUCUAAGCGGGAAGCCUACUUCAAGAUAAGAUAUCCCAUGGUGUAAAGCCACCUGAAGGCUCGUGGUAGACCACCACGUCGAUAGGUCGGGUGUGGAAGUGCAGUAAUGCAUGCAGCUUACCGAUACUAAUCAGCCGUGCGGCUUAUCCAU
rnacentral:rRNA from 1 species